CUUCUUAGUAAAAUUGAUAUUUAGAUGGAAACCCAAGGACAAUUUUGUCCUCUAUAAACUGAAGAAAAAAAAAGCAUUGAAGGCCCACUAAACAAUACCCUCUCCAUGUGCCCUUUGUCUUGUCCAUGACUAGAAAAACAUCUCUUCCCUACUUGGUCCAAAUUCACUAACAGACGACACCUUCUAAAACCUUAUUCUCGUUUGAUGACAUGACCAACCUGUCCCCUUGGUUUGUCCACUUGCCUUCUUGGCUAGAUUGCAUGGAGAUGGAAAACGAUACGACACUUGAAGAUUCAUUAAACAACAAUUGCGAUUAAGAAUUAGUAUAUUCACACCACAAUUUUUAUUGUUUGCAACACAUUUUAAUUGUGAGGACAUAAUACACGCAUAAUAGUUCUAUAUAGUAGCUGCACGUAAUUCUGUAAAAUAAACGAAAAACUCAGCUCGUAUAUGGAAAAAAUACUAACACUAAUAAUUUGUAAAGUAUCAAACAAAUUGUAAUCCUGGAUGACAUGCAAUGAACGGCAAGUUCUGGUAAAUGCUUUUCAAAUACACAAGAACACAAAGAUGCAAGACCCCUAAUUACUCAAAUUACAAUCAUGUCGGCAUAAGAGGAGAAACUAUAACAGCACGUUCAGUAAAGAAAAUUGGACAAUAGUCAAGAAUAAAAAGGAGUUCAAAUCAUGUUCACUAUACAACAAGGUUACGUCUAGCGUUGCGCACCAAAUAUGCCCUCAAAGAAUUAUAUGAAACAAAAAACUUGCAAUCAAAUUUUCAUUCCUUUCCAGUUCUGAUCAAGCAACGGAAUCACUAGUGUAAAGAGUAGCUAGAUAUAAGAACACGCACGAACCAGAAGAUAAAUUCCAGAUGAAGGUCCUGAGUUGGUGAGUUGGAGUGUUGGCCAAUUAUCUAGGAGAAUUGACGUUGAUUGACUAUGCUUUCCUGGACUUCCUCCCUUCCAUAAUUGCUGCUUCAGCU
rnacentral:lncRNA from 1 species